rnacentral:rRNA from 1 species
GACGAACGCUGGCGGCGUGCUUAACACAUGCAAGUCGAACGGAAAGGCCCUGCUUGCAGGGUACUCGAGUGGCGAACGGGUGAGUAACACGUGGGUGAUCUGCCCUGCACUUCGGGAUAAGCCUGGGAAACUGGGUCUAAUACCGGAUAGGAGCCAUUUUUAGUGUGAUGGUUGGAAAGUUUUUUCGGUGUAGGAUGAGCUCGCGGCCUAUCAGCUUGUUGGUGGGGUAAUGGCCUACCAAGGCGGCGACGGGUAGCCGGCCUGAGAGGGUGGACGGCCAUAUUGGGACUGAGAGACGGCCCAGACUGCGACGGGAGGCAGCAGGGGGGAAUAUUGCACAAUGGGCGCAAGCCUGAUGCAGAGACGCCGCGUGGGGGAUGACGGCGUUCGGGUUGUAAACUCAUUUCGCUAGGGACGAAGCUUUUUGUGACGGUACCUAGAUAAGAAGCACCGGCUAACUACGUG